UAUCUAUAACAUUCUCCGUGU
rnacentral:piRNA from 1 species